UACGGGGGGGGCAAGCGUUGUUCGGAAUUACUGGGCGUAAAGGGCUCGUAGGCGGCCAACUAAGUCAGACGUGAAAUCCCUCGGCUUAACCGGGGAACUGCGUCUGAUACUGGAUGGCUUGAAUCCGGGAGAGGUGAGUGGAACUGCGAGUGUAGAGGUGAAAUUCGUAGAUAUUCGCAAGAACACCAGUGGCGAAGGCGGCUCACUGGCCCGAUACUGACGCUGAGGUGCGAAAGCGUGGGGAGCAAACAGGG
rnacentral:rRNA from 1 species